rnacentral:rRNA from 2 species
GGGUAACCUGCCUGUAAGACUGGGAUAACUCCGGGAAACCGGGGCUAAUACCGGAUGGUUGUUUGAACCGCAUGGUUCAAACAUAAAAGGUGGCUUCGGCUACCACUUACAGAUGGACCCGCGGCGCAUUAGCUAGUUGGUGAGGUAACGGCUCACCAAGGCGACGAUGCGUAGCCGACCUGAGAGGGUGAUCGGCCACACUGGGACUGAGACACGGCCCAGACUCCUACGGGAGGCAGCAGUAGGGAAUCUUCCGCAAUGGACGAAAGUCUGACGGAGCAACGCCGCGUGAGUGAUGAAGGUUUUCGGAUCGUAAAGCUCUGUUGUUAGGGAAGAACAAGUACCGUUCGAAUAGGGCGGUACCUUGACGGUACCUAACCAGAAAGCCACGGCUAACUACGUGCCAGCAGCCGCGGUAAUACGUAGGUGGCAAGCGUUGUCCGGAAUUAUUGGGCGUAAAGGGCUCGCAGGCGGUUUCUUAAGUCUGAUGUGAAAGCCCCCGGCUCAACCGGGGAGGGUCAUUGGAAACUGGGGGAACUUGAGUGCAGAAGAGGAGAGUGGAAUUCCACGUGUAGCGGUGAAAUGCGUAGAGAUGUGGAGGAACACCAGUGGCGAAGGCGACUCUCUGGUCUGUAACUGACGCUGAGGAGCGAAAGCGUGGGGAGCGAACAGGAUUAGAUACCCUGGUAGUCCACGCCGUAAACGAUGAGUGCUAAGUGUUAGGGGGUUUCCGCCCCUUAGUGCUGCAGCUAACGCAUUAAGCACUCCGCCUGGGGAGUACGGUCGCAAGACUGAAACUCAAAGGAAUUGACGGGGGCCCGCACAAGCGGUGGAGCAUGUGGUUUAAUUCGAAGCAACGCGAAGAACCUUACCAGGUCUUGACAUCCUCUGACAAUCCUAGAGAUAGGACGUCCCCUUCGGGGGCAGAGUGACAGGUGGUGCAUGGUUGUCGUCAGCUCGUGUCGUGAGAUGUUGGGUUAAGUCCCGCAACGAGCGCAACCCUUGAUCUUAGUUGCCAGCAUUCAGUUGGGCACUCUAAGGUGACUGCCGGUGACAAACCGGAGGAAGGUGGGGAUGACGUCAAAUCAUCAUGCCCCUUAUGACCUGGGCUACACACGUGCUACAAUGGACAGAACAAAGGGCAGCGAAACCGCGAGGUUAAGC